rnacentral:lncRNA from 1 species
UGAAUUAAUUUUGGGGAAGAUGGGUCAUUCUUUUUAAAUAAAGAAUUCAAUUUACAAUGUCACAUGGCUGCUUUAUAUUGGUUUGGGGUUGUUUUUUAAACACUCAUGCGCUCCGAAAACGUGAAAACACAGCAAAUGUGGAAGCAGGUCAAAAUGCUAUAUUUAGUCUGGUCAAAAAUAGUUUAAUGGGGUAAUAGGACUUCCGCAAACUUUAAGUGUCUACUUCAAAAUAAGCUUUAAGUUUAAU